AGAAAAAAUGAAUUAGGCAACGCACCUUUGGCACCGGUUCUUGAAAACCAGUGGCAAAGGAAAUGGGCGGGAGAAGCUUGAUGACUUUUGGCACCGUUUUCUCUUAAACUGGUGCCAAAUCAACUAUUUGGCACUGGUUCAAACCGGUGCGAACUACAAAAAAAAAAAAAAAAAAAAAAAGCAGAAAAGGGAUUUGGCACUGGUUCUAAACAAAACCGGUGCCUAACUGUUUAAAAAAAACUGGGUUAUAGCUUAAUUAUAUCUCUCUCUUCCGCCUCUGUAUUUCAUUCUCUCCCUCUCUGGUUCUGCUCUCCUUCUCUCUCAUCUCUGGUUCUGCCCUGCUCUCGUUCUAUCUCAUCUGUUGUUUUGCUCUCAUCUCUCAUUCUCUCUCAUCUUUCGUUCUGCUCUCAUCUCUCCUUCCUCUUUCGUUCCCAUCUCGAUCUGCUCUCAUCUCUCAUGUGAGGUCUUCGAUUUUCGUUCGAAUCUUGUUCGAGUUAAAGCAAGUGGUGAACGGUUAGAGAGACAGUUAGGCCGGCGACACCGUCACCUACAACGCUUCCGACCAAGACACCGUCACCUUUAACGGCUUCCGGUACCGGCGCUUGAAAGGUUUUUUUUUUUUUUUCCUGUUAAAGCUUACAAAACCCUAAUAUAAAUCUCUCUUUCGCUCUAUUUUUUCCCCAAUUACAAGUAAGUUUCUUCUCUUUUUCGCUUAAUUCAUCUUUAUAUUCUUUUAUGCUGUAUUUUUUGUUGAUUUUGUUAUAGAUUUAGUUGAAAUUUGGGGUAUUACGUUGUGUUUUUGAUUUAUAUUUUUUAAUCUGCGUUUUUUUGCUCAAUUUUUUCCCCAAUUUCAAGUAAUGUUUUUGCUAACAUUGGCUGUGUAGAACCUGUUAGAUUGUGUAUUGUGGGUUCUUUGAUUUUGGAACUUGACUCGUUAUUUUGGGUUCAUUGUUUCUUUUUUUCUUUUUUCUUUCAUUCAAUAACUUUGCUAUGAAUCUGUUUUUGUUUUGAUAAAUAAUUAGUUUAAUUCAUUAUAAUUGGCCUAUGAAAAAGUUGAGUUUCACUAUAUUCAUACUGAUUAAAAUUUGUAUGCAUUAGUCAAAAUUUUCAAGCAUUGGAUUUGAGUGUCAAUUUUUGUUAAGUGAAGCUGAUAAAGAGUUGUUGCUUAUAUAACUUUGUCUCUUUCAUAUGAAAUACUAGAGUGUAUCAUGGUUUGAAAGAAAUAGAAUAUGAGGCUGGUAAAUAUUAUCAGAUCUCAAUAUUAUAAUUACAUGUUUAGAAAUUAUAACAGAAUAUUGCAUGGGAAUGAGUAAGUGACAUGUGUACUUGCUCUGAAAUGUCAAUUGCAGGCUUUAGGUUUUGCUGAGUGUUCAAAAGGGGUUUGACAAGUCUGUGAAGUUGGGAAACAUUAAGCAAAAAUCUAAUGUUCUGUAUUAUCAUAGUAUUAAUUUAGAGUAUAUAUCUUCUAGAGUAAUUUGAAGCCACAUCUUAUACAAGUUUAGUAGAUAAUUUUUAAGGUUGGAUAUAUAUAUUUUUCAAUAUGCUAUGAGUUUCAUGCCAUUCUGUCUGGUGUUUUUGCUUUUUAAUCUACUGAAUGUUUUAAUUUUUCUAUAGUUGUAUAGAAAGGCGUAGUUGGGUUCUGGAUCAAGUAAUUUAUUGUAUUGUGGUCCUUGAGAAAGACUUCUAGUUGCCUGCAAAUAAUUAGCAAUUGUGACCUUUGUACAUAGUGCUACCUUUAAUGUGAGCCUGAAAGCAAUUGAUGAUGUACAUGAUAUGGUGUAAAUUGAUGAUUUACAUAUUUAAUCCUGCCCUUAUUGAAGUAUUUGUUGGUGCUUAUAGGCAUCUGGAAACUAGUGUAUGCAGUAAGCUGCAAUGGAAGCUAUUUGCUCACAUGGAGAAUGUUGCGCUGUUUUUGGUUAGAGAAGUUACACAUUUUAAUGGGGAUUUGGUACCUGAAUUCUGUGCUGCUGUAUUCAACGAGUAUACGCAAUUAUUGAAUGCUCAAUGUAUCCAGGGGACAACAACGGAGGAACAAGAAGAAUUUGUAAAAUUUGUAUCAAAUUGUACAUCCAAAUGUCGGUCAGCAUGCAAGAAUAUUCGGGUCUCCGUUGCUAUGCAUUUGUACAGAUCUGCAGACAAUUUUUUUCAGGUUCAUUGUUUGAAAUCCUCAUAUAAAUCUAACAUAAAUUACAUAAUACUUUUUAUAAGAAUGAUUAUUCUUAUAGCUAAAAUUUUGAUGUUGCUUGUAUUUUUUUUGUUCUGAGCAGGGUUUUUUUGUCUCUAAUCCUACCAUUUUCCAAUCUCUUUCUCUAUAAUAUGCUGCUUUCAAUUCUCUGUUCAUUCAACAUAUGUUGAUUUUUCGCUGUUUUUUCGCGAAUUGAUUUUUCGUUGAGUUGCGCGGAUGUGAAUCUUGAUUCAGAAUUGAUAAGGAUUUUGGGGGUCUUAAUGCUUGUGAAUCAAUCGUUGAUUUGUUGUGUUGAUUUUGGGUUCCUUGUCCCUGGUUAUUAUUGAUGUUCAUUGUCUAGGGUUUGGCGAUUUCAUCAUUGUCUAGGGUUUAGCGAUUUCAUCAUCGUCUAGGGUUUGUCCUCUUUGAGAAAUGGUUUUCGCUACCUAAAAUCAAUCGCCUGGUAUGAAUCUUGCUCGUUAAUUGCUUGCAUUUUCUUGUGUUUUAUUUCUGUGUGAUAGCUUUUUCUAAAAUCUUAAAGGUUUUUAUUUAGGGAGAAAAAAAUAUGGAUUCAAAGAGCGAUAGAGGAGAUGAAAGUGUUGUUGCAGAGGUUAAGAAUUCUUCAGAUAAGCCUGCUGAAGAAGCAAACGACAAACAGAAGUGUUCUCUUUCAAAUUUGAUAGAUUUAGGUGAUUUGAGUACAAAAAACAUUAUAUUUAGGGCUGAUAAUAUUAAUAUCUAGAGCUAGGAUAUUCAAUUGGAGGAACAUUUGAGUUGGGUUUGGUCUCGAGAUGGAGAUUUUAAUGAAGAGUGGUAAAUCGACUUGGCAAAACUCGAUUUGAAGAACAAUAUUUCUGGUAAUUAUUUGAUGUAGUAUUAUGCAACACGCCUGAUAAUGUCAGCAGUUUCGUUAAUGUUGAUUCCAUUUUGUUCUGUUUCUUGUAGCUUUCGGAGUAUUUGGUUAUGAAGCACUUAAAUUAUAUGAAGAAGGGAAGAAAAGGAAGAUAGCUGGUAACACUGAAUCUGUUUGUGAAGCUUCCAUUGAAUUUACACCACCAGCAGCUUCCAUUGGAACAAAUAUGCCACCACCAGCAGCUCAGCAUCACAGCUCCCCAGAAAACCAGCAACAUGACUGCAAAAGGAAAACAGACAGCAGCACAGUAGUAUCAACACAGCAAACUUCUCAACAAACCAGAACAAGAUCCAAGUGUACUGGUCAGCAUUCAAGCUGUAGAAUAAGAUCCAAGAUCUAAGUGUUUUUUUUUUUUUUUAGUUUUUUAAAGUGUAAUAUUACAAGUUAUUGAAGAAAAUAUAUGUGUUUUAUG